rnacentral:lncRNA from 13 species
AUGGGGUGGUGUGCAGGGUCCAGGUCUUGUGGUAAUGGGGUGGUGUACAGGGUUGUGUCUACAGUGGUAAUGGGGUGGUGUACAGGGUCCAGGUCUUGUGGUAAUGGGGUGGUAUAUAGGGUUGUGUCUACAUUGUUAAUGGGGUGGUGUACAGGGUCCAGGCCCUGUGGUAAUGGCUGCUCUGCUAUGUGUGGAGGCCAGGCAGCAUAAUGAGAAGCAGCCAGUGAGACUUAAAUCUGCGUCCCAUUUGGCACCUUAUUCCCUUCAUAGUGCAAUAGUUUUGACCAGGGCCCUAUAAGGCUCUGGUCAAAAGUAGUGCACUAUAAAGGGAAUAGGGUGCCAUUUGGGGUAUAGACUGAGACUGCAGCAGUGUGCUGAGUCUCUCUGAGGAACUGCAGUAAUGAGACUUCUGGCUGCACUGCUAACAGAGCUGUCUGAGUAGGACAGAGCGUCUGUGUGCAUGUGUGUCUGUGUGUGUGUGCGUGCAUGCGUGCGUGGUUUCACUAUCCUUGCCAGUCCCCACAAGGAAAAGUGCCAUUUUAGGUAUAGGGGUUAGGUUUAGGGUUAUGGUGAGAAUUAAGGUUAGGGUUAGGAGUUAGGGUUAGGUUAAAGGUUACGGUUAGGAGUUAGGGUUAGGAGUUAGGUUUAGGGUCAGGAGUUAGGGUUACGGUCAGGAGUUAGGGUUACUGUUAGGAGUUAGGGUUAGGUUAAAGGUUACGGUUAGGAGUUAGGGUUAGGAGUUAGGGUUACGGUCAGGAGUUAGGGUUACGGUCAGGAGUUAGGGUUACUGUUAGGAGUUAGGGUUAAGGUUAGAAUUAGAAUUAGAGGUCGACCGAUUAUGAUUUUUCAACGCCGAUACCAAUACCAAUUAUUGGAGGACCAAAAAAGCCGAUACCGAUUAAUCGGCCGAUUUAUUUAUUUAUUUGUAAUAAUGACAAUUACAACAAUACUGAAUGAACACUUAUUUUAACUUAAUAUAAUACAUCAAUAAAAUACAUUUAGCCUCAAAUAAAUAAUGAAACAUGUUCAAUUUGGUUUAAAUAAUGCAAAAACAAAGUGUUGGAGAAGAAAGUAAAAGUGCAAUAUGUGCUAUGUAAGAAAGCUAACGUUUAAGUUCCUUGCUCAGAACAUGAGAACAUAUGAAAGCUGGUGGUUCCUUUUAACAUGAGUCUUCAAUAUUCCCAGGUAAGAAGUUUUAGGUUGUAGUUAUUAUAGGAAAUAUAGUACUAUUUCCCUCAAUACCAUUUGUAUUUCAUUAACCUUUGUUCUUAUAGGCACUUUAGUAUUGCCAGUGUAACUGUAUAGCUUCCGUCCCUCUCCUCGCUCCUCCCUGGGCUCGAACCAGGAACACAACGACAACAGCCAAUCUCGAAGCAGCAUUACCCAUGCAGAGCAAGGGAAACAACCACUCCAAGGCUCAGAGCGAGUGACGUUUGAAACGCUAUUAAAGCGCUCUAACUAGCUAGCCAUUUCACUUCGUUUACACCAGCCUCAUCUCGGGAGUUGAUAGGCUCGAAGUCAUAAACAGCGCAACGAAGAGCUGCUGGCAAAACGCACAAAAGUGCUUUUUGAAUGAAUAUUUACGUGCCUGCUUCUGCCUACCACCGCUCAGUCAGAUACUUAGAUACUUAGAUACUUAGAUACUUGUAUGCUUGUAUGCUCAGUCAGGUUAUAUGCAACGCAGGACACGCUAGAUAAUAUCUAGUAAUAUCAUCAACCAUGUGUAGUUAACUAGUGAUUAUGAUUGAUUGUUUUUUAUAAGAUACGUUUAAUGCUAGUUAGCAACUUACCUUGGCUUACUGCAUUCGCGUAACAGGCAGUCUCCUUGUGGAGAGAGGCAGGUCGUUAUUGCGUUGGACUAGUUAACUGUAAGGUUGCAACAUUGAAUCCCCUGAGCUGACAAGGUGAAAAUCUGUCGUGCUGCCCCUGAACGAGGCAGUUAACCCACCGUUCCUAGGCCGUCAUUGAAAAUAAGAAUGUGUUCUUUAACUGACUUGCCUAGUUAAAUAAAGAUUAAAUAAAGGUGUAAAAUAUAUAUAUAUAUAAAAAAUGUAAAAAAAAACUUGAAAUCGGGCCUAAUUAAUAGGCCAUUCUGAUUAAUCGGUCGACCUCUAGUUAGGAUUAGAGUUAGGGUUAGGGUUAGGGUUAGGAGUUAGGGUUAGGAAUUAGGGUUAGGUUAGGAAUUAGGGUUAGGAGUUAGGGUUAGGUUAAGGGUUAGGUUAUGGGUUAGGUAAAGGGUUAGGAGUUAGGGUUAGGUUAAGGGUUAGGAGUUAGGUUUAGGGUUUGACGUUAGGGUUAGGUUAAGGAUUUGGCGUUAGGGUUAGGUUAAGGAUUUGGCUUUACGGUUAGGUUAAGUGUUAGGUUAAGGGUUGUGUUAGGUUAAGGUUUAGGGUUUGGCGUUAGGGUUAGGUUAAGGGUUACGGUUAGGUAAGGGUUAAGUGUUAGGUUAAAGGUUUAGGGUUUGGCGUUAGGGUUUGACGUUAGGGUUAGGUUAGGAAUUAGGUUAAGGGUUAUGGUAAGGGUUAGGGUUUAGGUUAAGGGUUAUGGUAGGGGUUAGGAGUUACGGUUAGGUUAAGGGUUACGGUUAGGAUAAGGGUUACGGUUAGGAGUUAGGUUUAUAGUUUGGAGUUAGGUUAAGGGUUAUGGUAAGGGUUAGAAGUUACGGUUAGGUUAAGGGUUACGGUUAGGAUAAGGGUUACGGUUAGGGUAAGGGUUACGGUUAGGUUUAGGGUUUGGCGUUAGGUUAAGGGUUUGGCGUUAGGGUUAGGUUAAGGGUUACGGUUAGGUUAAGGGUUACGGUUAGGUUAAGGGUUAAGUUUAGGGUUUGGCGUUAGGGUUAGGUUAAGGAUUUGGCAUUAGGGUUAGGUUAAGGGUUGGGUUUGGGGGU